rnacentral:snRNA from 1 species
UUCUCUCUUUAGAGACAUCUGAUAAAAUUGGAACGAUACAGAGAAGAUUAGCUACACGCACAACUCAAGAAAUGGUCUUUUUAGAGAUUCAAAUAAUCAUA